rnacentral:rRNA from 1 species
UACGUAGGGGGCAAGCGUUGUCCGGAAUCAUUGGGCGUAAAGAGCGUGUAGGCGGCCAGGUAGGUCGGUUGUGAAAACUGGAGGCUCAACCUUCAGAGGUCGACCGAAACCAUCUGGCUAGAGUCCGGGAGAGGAGAGUGGAAUUCCUGGUGUAGCGGUGAAAUGCGCAGAUAUCAGGAAGAACACCCGUGGCGAAAGCGGCUCCCUGGAACGGUACUGACGCUGAGACGCGAAAGCGUGGGGAGCGAACAGG